UCCAGAAGAGCAAAUUGGAAAUCCCACCGUAACGUUGCGUGAGGAUGGACUGUAUAAUAUUUUAUCACGCGUUGCCUUAUUGGAUGAAGAUUUACCGGAAGCAACAAUUGUCAAAUGUUUACUCAGUAUACCGAAGGCAACGUAUAAUGUGUCUCGCAAAACUGUCUAUUAUACUGGAACGUUUACUACUACAUCAACUACUACAACGAAGCUACAUCGUAAAAUGGAAAUCCAAGCCUUAGACAAAUCAGAAUCUGAUAAUAAUGAUGAUAACUCUGCUGGCUACGUGUCAAUUAAUCUUCCAUUAUUAUUUAUACAAUUAGCAAUUUUCAUUUCAUCAAUAAUUCAAUAGUUUUGCUACAAAAGUGAUACUACCGAUGACACCAAAAUAUAAUGAGAAUUAUACCAAUAUUUUGAACAAGAUGACAAGUGCGGCUAUGAAGAAAAUCGUUUCGAUUCUACAUCGAACAUUUUAUUGUAUUAUAAAUACAUCCACA